GGAUGCGAUCAUACCAGCACUAAAGCAC
rnacentral:rRNA from 1 species